AAAGGGUUUCAUAUCUAAGGGUUGUGAUAGGCNUGGGUAUGAAACCCAUUUGGGCGAGAGUAGUACUAGGAUGGGUGACCUCCUGGGAAGUCCUCGUGAAAGGGUUUC
rnacentral:rRNA from 1 species